rnacentral:rRNA from 1 species
GAUCCCUUCCCGAACUCAGAAGUGAAACCUCUUAGCGCUGAUGGUAGUGUGGGGUUACCCAUGUGAGAGUAAGUCAUUGCCAGCU